rnacentral:rRNA from 1 species
CGCAUCUGUGCAUGCAGCAUAUCAAUAGCGGAGGAAAAGGAACUAACAAGGAUUCCCUUAGUAACGGCGAGUGAAGCGGGAAGAGUUCAAAUUUGAAAUCUUCAAGGUUUUAUCUUGACGAAUUGUAGUUUAAAGAAGUGUUUUCUGCUGAAGUUUUGGUAAAAGUUCUUUGGAAUAGGACAUCAUAGAGGGUGAGAAUCCCGUAUUUGACCAUUAUUUUCAGCUUUGUGAUACACUUUCAAAGAGUCGGACUUGUUUGGGAAUGCAGUCCAAAAUGGGUGGUAAAUUUCAUCUAAAGCUAAAUAUUGGCGAGAGACCGAUAGCGAACAAGUACCGUGAGGGAAAGAUGAAAAGAACUUUGAAAAGAGAGUUAAACAGUACGUGAAAUUGUCAAAAGGGAAGCGUUUGACACCAGUGUUGUUUUCUCGAAAAUCAAUUAAAAAUGGCUCGAUUUUGUAUUGCUGAGACCUUAAAAGCUCACUGUACAUUUUUCCGUGUCUUUUUUAAUGCACUUUUCGUUUAACAAGUCAACAUCGGUUUCUUUUGUUGUAAAAGGGUCAUUGGAAGGUGGCUUUCUUUUCGGAGAAAGUGUUUAUAGCCUUUGGCCUCUGCAAUCGGAAGAGACUGAGGUCUGCAGCGUAGACUCUUCGGGGUUAGAUACAUUUGUGCUAAGUUAUAGCUUUUUAUAGACAACUUGUUGACUAUAAUUAGUCUUGUAGCUUACUCGCUUAUGCUAUUUUACCUACGCUUAGGAUGUUGACGCAUGAGAUAUACGC